GAGUUCCCAAUUGAAAUGGUAAAGUAAGAGAGUCAAAGGAAGUGUAACGCUGGCAACACCAAAAGUCAUGCUAGGGCAUAUUCUUCUUCCUGCCCCAAAUGGUAAAUACUCAAAAUUAUUCCCUUUGAAGUCCAAAGAACUUUCUUCAAAUCUCUCAGGUAUAAAACUCUCAAGAGUCCAAAGAACUUUCUUCAAAUGUACGUGACCGGCCGGUUUUUUAAAUUUUGCAAAACGCUAUCGUUUUGCUGGGAUGCCCUAGCCCCUAGCCAAUUUCCCAACCCAGCAACCUUAGCUCCACACAAAGGCUAAACGCGAACCCAUCCCUCCAUCACCCUCGAGCUCCUCCUUCCUCUCACGUCAUCGAUCUCAUUCCCUCACCUCCGUCCAUCUCCCGCCGCCGUCGCCGAAACGAGCUUCGAAGCCACCGUCGUUAUCGUGCAGCUCUUUUCCACCAUCGUGCAGCUACUGUUUCAGCUUUGAAAGCACCGUUGCGCAGCUCGGUUCCAUCGUCGCCGGGCUUGCCUCCUUUUUCCGUCGCUCAGCUCUGUUCCAUCGUCGCCGGCGCUAUCUCUGUUCCACCUGUCAUCCCUUCGGUCGUACCCUUGUCCCCCUCUUGCUCAGGAUCUGCUCUGCUCUGUUCUAGGGCUUUUAGCUUCUAGAAGGUGAUGGGGUCUUUAGGCUUGAAUCUUUUGAAACUAAGUGGUGAACGUGGGGUAUGCCUGUUUUGUGUCUUCUUUUUCUUUGAGAACUUAGCUUUGCUAUGCUUGAUAAAUUGUGCCAAUUAUGCAUUUCCUGAAAUUGGUAUGCAGAUUCUAAAUAGUGCGUUUCAUGAGUCUGGUGUACUAAUUACAAAGUGGAGAGGGAUUGUAGAAUUUGUCACAUAGGUUUGGAGAGUGAUAGUUCUGAGUCUGGUGUUCCAAUUGAAUUGGGUUGUGCUUGUAAAGAUGAUUUUGUUGCUGCUCACAAAGUAUGUGCUGAGACAUGGUUUAAGAUUAAGGAGAAUUUGAGUAUAAAUCCCAUCUCUACUUUA